UACGUAGGGGGCGAGCGUUGUCCGGAAUUUAUUGGGCGUAAAGAGCGUGUAGGCGGUUCGGUAAGUCUGCCGUGAAAACCUGGGGCUCAACCCCGGGCGUGCGGUGGAUACUGCCGGGCUAGAGGGUGGUAGAGGCGAGUGGAAUUCCCGGUGUAGCGGUGAAAUGCGCAGAUAUCGGGAGGAACACCAGUAGCGGAAGGCGGCUCGCUGGGCCAUUCCUGACGCUGAGACGCGAAAGCUAGGGGAGCGAACAGG
rnacentral:rRNA from 1 species